rnacentral:rRNA from 1 species
GACAGAGGGUGCAAACGUUGUUCGGAAUUACUGGGCGUAAAGCGUGUGUAGGCGGCUACGUAAGUCGGAUGUGAAAGCCCCAGGCUCAACCUGGGAAGUGCACUCGAUAACUGCGUAGCUUGAGUAUCGGAGAGGUUGGUGGAAUUCUCGGUGUAGAGGUGAAAUUCGUAGAUAUCGAGAGGAACACCGGUGGCGAAGGCGGCCAACUGGACGAAUACUGACGCUGAGACACGAAAGCGUGGGGAGCAAACAGG